rnacentral:rRNA from 1 species
CCUACGGGAGGCAGCAGUGGGGAAUAUUGGACAAUGGGCGAAAGCCUGAUCCAGCCAUGCCGCGUGUGUGAAGAAGGCCUUCGGGUUGGAAAGCACUUUCAGUGGGGAAGAAAGCCUUGGGGCUAAUACCCUCGAGGAAGGACAUCACCAACAGAAGAAGCACCGGCUAACUCCGUGCCAGCAGCCGCGGUAAUACGGAGGGUGCGAGCGUUAAUCGGAAUUACUGGGCGUAAAGCGCGCGUAGGCGGUCUGAUAAGCCGGUUGUGAAAGCCCCGGGCUCAACCUGGGAACGGCAUCCGGAACUGUCAGGCUAGAGUGCAGGAGAGGAAGGUAGAAUUCCCGGUGUAGCGGUGAAAUGCGUAGAGAUCGGGAGGAAUACCAGUGGCGAAGGCGGCCUUCUGGACUGACACUGACGCUGAGGUGCGAAAGCGUGGGUAGCAAACAGGAUUAGAUACCCCAGUAGUC